rnacentral:tRNA from 1 species
GCAGUGGUGGUUCAGUGGUAGAAUUCUUGCCUUCCAUGCAGGAGACCUGGGUUUGAUUCCCGGCCAGUGCA